CCUACGGGAGGCAGCAGUGGGGAAUAUUGGGCAAUGGAGGAAACUCUGACCCAGCGACGCCGCGUGCGGGAUGAAGGCCUUCGGGUUGUAAACCGCUUUCAGUAGGGAAGAAGCGAAAGUGACGGUACCUACAAAAGAAGCACCGGCUAACUAUGUGCCAGCAGCCGCGGUAAUACAUAGGGUGCAAGCGUUGUCCGGAAUUAUUGGGCGUAAAGAGCUCGUAGGUCGUUUGUUACGUCGGAUGUGAAAACCUGAGGCUCAACCUCAGGCCUGCAUUCGAUACGGGCAAACUAGAGUUUGGUAGGGGAGACUGGAAUUCCUGGUGUAGCGGUGGAAUGCGCAGAUAUCAGGAGGAACACCAAUGGCGAAGGCAGGUCUCUGGGCCAAUACUGACACUGAGGAGCGAAAGUCUGGGGAGCGAACAGGAUUAGAUACCCUGGUAGUCCAGACCGUAAACGGUGGGCACUAGUUGUGGGAACCUUCCACGGUUUCUGCGACGCAGCUACGACAUAGUACGCCCGCCGUCGGGAGGUACGAGUCGCGAAGAAGUUAAAACGUUAAAAGUAAAGUUAGUACGGACGUGAGACGUGACCGAACGGACGACCGACGAGGGAGGUAGG
rnacentral:rRNA from 1 species